UGUUACUACAGUACUGUUACUACAGGUACUACAGUACUGUUACUACAGGUACUACAGUACUGUUACUACAGUACUGUUACUACAGUACUGUUACUACAGGUACUACAGUACUGUUACUACAGGUACUACAGUACUGUUACUACAGUACUGUUACUACAGGUACUACAGUACUGUUACUACAGGUACUACAGUACUGUUACUACAGGUACUACAGUACUUAUACUACAGUACUGUUACUACAGGUACUACAGUACUGUUACUACAGGUACUACAGUACUGUUACUACAGUACUGUUACUACAGGUACUACAGUACUGUUACUACAGGUACUACAGUACUGUUACUACAGUACUGUUACUACAGGUACUACAGUACUUAUACUACAGUACUGAUACAACAGUACUGUUACUACAGUACUGUUACUACAGGUACUACAGUACUUAUACUACAGUACUGUUACUACAGGUACUACAGUACUUAUACUACAGUACUGUUACUACAGGUACUACAGUACUGUUACUACAGGUACUACAGUACUUAUACUACAGUACUGUUACUACAGGUACUACAGUACUGUUACUACAGUACUGUUACUACAGGUACUACAGAACUGUUACUACAGUACUGUUACUACAGUACUGUUACUACAGGUACUACAGUACUGUUACUACAGUACUGUUACUACAGUACUGUUACUACAGGUACUACAGUACUGUUACUACAGGUACUACAGUACUGUUACUACAGGUACUACAGUACUGUUACUACAGGUACUACAGUACUGUUACUACAGUACUGUUACUACAGGUACUACAGUACUUAUACUACAGUACUGAUACAACAGGUACUGUUACUACAGUACUGUUACUACAGGUACUACAGUACUUAUACUACAGUACUGUUACUACAGGUACUACAGUACUUAUACUACAGUACUGUUACUACAGGUACUACAGUACUUAUACUACAGUACUGUUACUACAGGUACUACAGUACUGUUACUACAGGUACUACAGUACUUAUACUACAGUACUGUUACUACAGGUACUACAGUACUGUUACUACAGGUACUACAGUACUGUUACUACAGGUACUACAGUACUUAUACUACAGUACUGAUACAACAGGUACUACAGUACUUAUACUACAGUACUGUUACUACAGGUACUACAGUACUUAUACUACAGUACUGUUACUACAGUACUGA
rnacentral:lncRNA from 1 species